GCCAUCAUCGUUUCCUCGGGUCUAGGGGUAACUAACUUCAUCCUCUCUCUUUUUUGACGUUAUUUUUUGUUUUUAUGAUUUCUCCUCCAUUUUAAGCUCAAAAUCAAUGGUUAUAGUUUGAAUCGACAUAGCCGGUGUCUAUUGGUGAUCUUCUUCGACUCGUCAUCGACUCUUCGUGUUUAGAGGUAACUAAGCUUCAUCCUCCCAUAUCAUUUUAAUGUUGUUUUUGUCCUUGUGAUUUCUCCACCACUUUGAGCUAAAAUUUACUUGUUAGUUUGAAUUCAUAGCUUAAAUUAGUAACCAUAUAUAUAAUAUUUCAUGGUUUGCUAUAAAUUAAAGAAUUAUAGUGUCUUUUUAAUCUUUCUUCUAUAUAUAAUUGAGAUCAUAAAAGGAAUUUAAUUAAUAGGGUUCAUCAAAUCGACUUGUUAGCUAGACUUGUUAAUUUAAGCAUGUAUAAAAAUUUUGAGCAUAGAGUUCAUCAAAUUGACUUGAUAUUUUUUUAUUGCUAGAUAGUAUCCAUUAUAUUUUUCAUGUUUAAAACAAGACAAGUAUAGAAUUUAAUUAUUUGUCUUUUUAAUUACUUUUCUUUAGAAAAUAUUGUGUUUAUAAUAGUUUGCAACAAUGAAUAUAAAAAAUAGACAAAAAUUAAAAUAAAAUCAUGCAUAGUUUAAAUAAAUAAGUAUGGAUAUAGUAGAUGGCAACCGUGACCGGGUCCUCAGUCUCAUCACUAGGAUCCAAAGCGUCUGCGGCCAGAUCUUCCUCUCAUUACUUGUGGCGAGUGUAAGCAGAAGAUUGUGAAGGAAUACCGAGUGAAAAAAGAGGAAAUCAACAAGGGUCAUAUAUUCUACAAGUGUCCGGACCGUGAG
rnacentral:lncRNA from 1 species